AUGAACGCUAGCUACAGGCUUAACACAUGCAAGUCGAGGGGCAGCAUUUCAGUUUGCUUGCAAACUGGAGAUGGCGACCGGCGCACGGGUGAGUAACACGUAUCCAACCUGCCGAUAACUCGGGGAUAGCCUUUCGAAAGAAAGAUUAAUACCCGAUGGUAUAAUCAGACCGCAUGGUCUUGUUAUUAAAGAAUUUCGGUUAUCGAUGGGGAUGCGUUCCAUUAGGCAGUUGGUGAGGUAACGGCUCACCAAACCUUCGAUGGAUAGGGGUUCUGAGAGGAAGGUCCCCCACAUUGGAACUGAGACACGGUCCAAACUCCUACGGGAGGCAGCAGUGAGGAAUAUUGGUCAAUGGGCGCAGGCCUGAACCAGCCAAGUAGCGUGAAGGAUGACUGCCCUAUGGGUUGUAAACUUCUUUUAUAUGGGAAUAAAGUUUUCCACGUGUGGAAUUUUGUAUGUACCAUAUGAAUAAGGAUCGGCUAACUCCGUGCCAGCAGCCGCGGUAAUACGGAGGAUCCGAGCGUUAUCCGGAUUUAUUGGGUUUAAAGGGAGCGUAGGUGGACAGUUAAGUCAGUUGUGAAAGUUUGCGGCUCAACCGUAAAAUUGCAGUUGAUACUGGCUGUCUUGAGUACAGUAGAGGUGGGCGGAAUUCGUGGUGUAGCGGUGAAAUGCUUAGAUAUCACGAAGAACUCCGAUUGCGAAGGCAGCUCACUGGACUGCAACUGACACUGAUGCUCGAAAGUGUGGGUAUCAAACAGGAUUAGAUACCCUGGUAGUCCACACGGUAAACGAUGGAUACUCGCUGUUGGCGAUAUACUGUCAGCGGCCAAGCGAAAGCAUUAAGUAUCCCACCUGGGGAGUACGCCGGCAACGGUGAAACUCAAAGGAAUUGACGGGGGCCCGCACAAGCGGAGGAACAUGUGGUUUAAUUCGAUGAUACGCGAGGAACCUUACCCGGGCUUAAAUUGCAUUUGAAUAUAUUGGAAACAGUAUAGCCGUAAGGCAAAUGUGAAGGUGCUGCAUGGUUGUCGUCAGCUCGUGCCGUGAGGUGUCGGCUUAAGUGCCAUAACGAGCGCAACCCUUAUCUUUAGUUACUAACAGGUCAUGCUGAGGACUCUAGAGAGACUGCCGUCGUAAGAUGUGAGGAAGGUGGGGAUGACGUCAAAUCAGCACGGCCCUUACGUCCGGGGCUACACACGUGUUACAAUGGGGGGUACAGAAGGCAGCUACCUGGUGACAGGAUGCUAAUCCCAAAAGCCUCUCUCAGUUCGGAUCGAAGUCUGCAACCCGACUUCGUGAAGCUGGAUUCGCUAGUAAUCGCGCAUCAGCCACGGCGCGGUGAAUACGUUCCCGGGCCUUGUACACACCGCCCGUCAAGCCAUGAAAGCCGGGGGUACCUGAAGUACGUAACCGCAAGGAGCGUCCUAGGGUAAAACUGGUAAUUGGGGCU
rnacentral:rRNA from 1 species